CACGUAGGGCGCAAGCGUUGUCCGGAAUUAUUGGGCGUAAAGAGCUCGUAGGCGGUCUGUUGCGUCUGCCGUGAAAGUCCGGGGCUCAACUCCGGAUCUGCGGUGGGUACGGGCAGACUAGAGUGCGGUAGGGGAGACUGGAAUUCCUGGUGUAGCGGUGAAAUGCGCAGAUAUCAGGAGGAACACCGGUGGCGAAGGCGGGUCUCUGGGCCGUAACUGACGCUGAGGAGCGAAAGCAUGGGGAGCGAACAGG
rnacentral:rRNA from 1 species